AUUGAACGCUGGCGGCAGGCCUAACACAUGCAAGUCGAGCGAGCGGCGGACGGGUGAGUAAUGUAUGGGGAUCUGCCUGAUAGAGGGGGAUAACUACUGGAAACGGUUGCUAAUACCGCAUACCAUCAGAUGAACCCAUAUGGGAUUAGCUAGUAGGUGGGGUAAAGGCUCACCUAGGCGACGAUCCCUAGCUGGUCUGAGAGGAUGAUAAGCGACACUGGGACGGAGACACGGCCCAGACUCCUACGGGAGGCAGCAGUGGGGAAUAUUGCACAAUGGGCGCAAGCCUGAUGCAGCAAUGCCGCGUGUAUGAAGAAGGCCUUAGGGUUGUAAAGUACUUUCAGUGGGGAGGCGUUACCCGCAGAAGAAGCACCGGCUAACUCCGUGCCAGCAGCCGCGGUAAUAC
rnacentral:rRNA from 1 species